GUGAAUCAUCAAAUCUUUGAACGCAAAUUGCACUCCCUGGUAUUCCGGGGAGUAUGCCUGUUUGAGGGUCGUUAGAAUAAAAAAUCGAGGCGUCGCCCUCUUUUCGAGGGUGCUCGCGUCGGAAUUGAGCCGUUUUUUUAAUGUUAAUUCAUGUCAAAGUGGCUUGAUAUUUAUCCACCUGGUACGAUCAAUGUGUAUUUAAGUUCAAUUUUGUUCAAGAACGGGCGAUGACGUACUAU
rnacentral:misc_RNA from 1 species